rnacentral:rRNA from 1 species
AACGUAGGAGGCAAGCGUUAUCCGGAAUUACUGGGCGUAAAGAGCUCGUAGGUGGUUUGUCGCGUUGUUCGUGAAAACCGGGGGCUUAACCCUCGGCGUGCGGGCGAUACGGGCAGACUUGAGUACUGCAGGGGAGACUGGAAUUCCUGGUGUAGCGGUGGAAUGCGCAGAUAUCAGGAGGAACACCGGUGGCGAAGGCGGGUCUCUGGGCAGUAACUGACGCUGAGGAGCGAAAGCGUGGGGAGCGAACAGG